rnacentral:piRNA from 1 species
UCCCCUAGAACUGCGAGGCAGAACUAGCCCC